GUGCACUGUUCGUAACCUGUGAUCAGUUUGCAGUCUGACAUCGGGUUCCAUUCCAGUGCUACAGCGACCCUGGCAAUGCAGUGGGCUGCGUUGUGUGAGCAGCCCCUCUGUUCUUUUGCCAGGAACAAGC
rnacentral:snoRNA from 1 species